CAAGCUAUACUUCUUUGUGGCAGCUGCAUCCCCACAAAAGAGCAAGCAUUACUACUAUCCUUUGACUUAGCUCUGAGGACCCCAUUGGGCUUUUAAUGUAUAAAUGAUUAAAGCAAUGAAAAAUGACUGCAACAUUUAAAGCAAUAACAUUGGCCCAGAUUCAGUCUCCAGUUCAGUGAAUUCCUAAACUGUUGGAAGAUGUGAAGGUAUAACCAUGGGGACAGUCAUUCUGGACUUAACACUUUCUUGGACUCUUUCUCUAAACACAUAUGCCUCUACCCCUAUUUGAUUCCUGGAAGAAAAGACUUCACUGUAAUGAAAGUGUUCCCAAAACUCUGGGAGGAAGACAGGGUGAACAAGAAGAAAAAGUCUCCAAGAGUCAUCCUUGCAUGGCUGACUAACAAAUGCAGAACCAGCUUUCCAGGUGACAAGCUUUCUAUGGGUCUCAAUGGCUGAAUGGAUUUGAACACGUGUUUUGCUUCAUCAGCAGUAAGGGUGAUUCCGAUACAAUCCACACACAGCCCCUGGGAGCUUGAAGUGCCGAGCAGCAGGCUUGCAUUUGACAAAUGAGCUUCUCUGAAGAAAAAUAGAUGAUUCUCUACUGCCCAACAGUUUUCAGAUAACAUCAAGAAUGAUAUGAUUUUUUGCUAUAAGCAAGCACAGCUAGGUUUGCCUAGUUCUAUAAGGAUUUAUACCACCCUGACAUUAAAGAGGCUACCCAGGAAGUGACACCCAUUAGGAGCCAGGAUACUCCAGGGCACAUCUCCUCCAGGCAAAGAAUAAAGGUGUAUAAAUUUACGAGCUAUGUCAGACAGGCUAUCUCUGGAAAUAGAAUAAAAUAACCAAGUAAGUGUGUCUCUGAGUCCUGGUUAAUUAGUAUUGCUAACAGACCAAGGUAAUUCACUUAUGUCCUGUGAUGAAUUAAUGCUGCCUGGUUUGCAGGGUCCAACUGGAUAUCUCUGCCAAGAACUGAGUAAUACUAUAUAAAUGUGCCAUAUACUCCAGCAUGAUGCAAGGUAGAGAUGCACCCAGAAUCAUGCUCUGAAGACUGAUUGGUCUCAUCUUUGAAUCACAAGCCAUUUAUCUGUGUAGUUCAGGAAGGAAAACUUUCACUAACUACUACAUCACCCAGAUGUUUAAAUACAUUACAGAACUUUCCAAACUUCCUUUGAAACAUCACUCAUGAGAAGCUGCCAAAAGCUGAAUAACACAUGAGACACACUGAAGUCAUACUUGUUUCAAAAAUACCUAAUAAUGAAUUUUCACAUAGAAAUACUCCAGACUUCUGCUCAGAUUUCAGAUAUGGUCUUGGAAUGAUAAUGAGAUAAUCUCAUGAGAGAAAUCAUGGAAGAAAAGACACGAUCACCUUUUCCUUCCUAUCCGCGGGUAGAUUGUGUUAAGUAAGGAUGGUGAUCUAGAAAACCAUGAAGAUGACUAAUUAGACCUGAUAACAUAUUGUAUAUAGUGAAUGGAGUAUGGAAUAGUGUGGAGUAUGUGUGUAGGAGUUGGCCUAGCAAAAGUUCUGUCAUAAAGAACCAAAGAUCACAACAUUUUUCUACAUUUCAGAAGGCAUGAAUCUCACUGAAUGUAAACAUCUACAGGGGAAAUGUCUACAUUAGAGCUGGUCACUCAUCUCAGUGGUGAAGUCUGACCUUUUGCACAUAAUACAGCUACUGCAAAAGAAGAAAUCUAAAUGAGUUCACAUGGCUUACUAUAGACAUGCCUAUUUUUGUUUCCCUUGGAUUAAAAAUGUAGAUCAAAAUGAUUAACUGCAUUAAAAAAUAUCUACAGUGUGAAUGCUUAAUAUUAGGUUUGAUGAAUCCCAUUGAUUUAUCCUUAUUUGAUUUUCAUGAAUGUAAUUCCAUAGAAAUCUGCACUGCUUAAAUAUAAUAAUGAUAAAUAUGAAUGAAGAAAAAGAUUUAUGAUUUAUUAUAUGAUAAUAAAUAUUCUGGACUACACCCUCUUUUUCCUGAAGGAAAAACUGUUUGUGGAUGUAAAGGUGUAUGGAAGAUGAACAUAUUGCAGACAUAGAACAUCCCACAUAGCGCUUCCUAAAACACAGGAAGGAAGGUGGAACAGGACUUUACAGAGCUGAGAUCUCCAACGGUGUUCCUACAGCUGCUCAUACAGGAACACCUCUGCUGUCUCAGUAAGAACCAUCUUGGAUACUCUGUAAUAGAAACAUACUCAAGGCUAUCCACAUAAGUUUGCUUCACUUUAAAAUUUGAAGAUGUUUUCAUUAGCCAUACACUUAUACUCACCCCCUGUCAUCAACUGAAAGGAAAUGGAACCUUCACAGGUCAGAAAAUCUGAGACGUGAACACCCGCUGGAAGUCUGUCUCCCUCCAUUGACUGCAAAAGGCAUGAUGGUCUUUAGUGUCUAACUCAGGUAGGAUUAAUUUGAACUAGCAUAAGCAAGGGAUUUGUUAAAUUACAAAUAGUAAAACCAUUAUAUAAUCUAAAUUAGAACUAAGAUUACCUAGAUAAAACACUACAUCUUGGACUACAAGUCUUUCUAUCUUCCUAUUAUAAGUGUUUUGGGUAUGCAUUGUUA